GGCAGAACCACUACGCUAAAUCCCCGACCUCCUCCAAAUUUUUUUAAUGUACUUAUUAUUCACUCAGUGGCAAGUUCAUUGGAUCACAACAUGAAAGAUUAUCUCCUCAUUAGUAUUUACCACAAGAAUUAAAACAAUAUUGAAAUAGUGUUAAAUUUAGAGCAAAGAGAUUAUUGGUGAGAAAACAUUAGGCUUUAAAAAAGUUCUUUUAAGGGUGACAGAUACAUCAACACCUUCUAAAAGAGGGUUUGGAGAGCACACUUUCUUCUAUGACAUUUAUAUUUUAAUAGCCUCAUCGAAGAGUUUUCUGGGGGUUUUUCAUCAAAGAGUUUUGAUGCUUGAUUUCAAGAUGGCAUCUUCAGCCCUGAAAUUCUCUCUCUCCUUCACAAAUCCCAGGGUAAAGGCCAAAGAUACACUGUAGUAUAAGAAUACAGUAUUUGGUUUUGUCCCAGGUUCCUGUCACAGAGCUUCUAAAGCCCUGGAAAUCUCCUGAGUGUAGUAGUAUCUUUGAUAUUCAUAAUAAGCCCCUUUUAGAAUACCUGAGUUUAGACUGAGGAGAUGACUUACUUGGUCCCUCUGGAAACCCUGAGGAUGGAGAGGCCAUCCUCAGAAAAACCAGGCAGUCAAAAGGUUGGAAUUUUCAGUCCCACCCACCAAACUCUAGGAAAGAGGAGCUAAAGAUAAAACUAUAAAAACUCCAGAACAAUAAGAUUUGAUAUUUUUUUCAGGUUGGCCUUAAGCUCAUUAUGUAGCCUGGGGUGGCCAUGAACUUGAGGCGAUCCUCCUGCCUCUCAGCCUCCUGAGUGCUGGGAUUACAGGAAUGGCUUGACUGUCUCAUUUUCAUGAGCCUGAGCUGAUGACAUCUGAGAACACUUGAAGGCCACUGUGAAAGGAGACCCAGCACUCCUCCUAGAAUGAAAUCAUCAUGUCAAGCAAUUUGGGUCCUGUCCUGGAGAAAUGUCCCUGCUGCUAUAUCUAGGAAGUCCACUGGAGCCCACUUCCGGACCCAGGAUCAGCUGAGCAGCUUCACAGCCACUCACUGCCCUGACGAGAAAGCAGCCAGACCUCAGAAGCAAAUCAGCAGGGCCAGCACCACUGUUGAGGAGGCCCAAAGGCUGUGAAGGCUGAGCUCCAGAUCCUCAUUGAUAAAAGCCAGCUGACAGCGAAGACCCCUUAUUAUCAGCGACCUCAGCCAACACACAACCUUCAAAACAUACUUUCUCCAGUUAUUUUGCAGUUUUAUUGGUUUCUUGCUAACCAUGUUGCUUGUAGCCCAUGUCUUCCUCUUUCCCCUCUCUUCUUCCUCCUUCUUUACCUUCUCUUGGUGGAUCUUCAUGUGUCUCUUGCAGAAAGCAUUCCUGGAUGGCAAACUUUUCGAAUCUUUGCAUGUGUGAAUACAUGUUAAUGUUGCUCUCACUUCAUUGUGGAUGAACUGGGUAUGGAAUCCUGGAUUCAGAAUAUUUAAGUGAUACUUCAUGAGGUAUAAAUUCUGAAUUCAGAAUAAUUUUCUGUCAGAAUUUGGUAAAACAUUUCCUUGAUAUUUGUACGACCUUGAAUUUGAUCCCCAUAGCUGCCAAAGAUAAAAAAUUGAAAAACUGAAAAAAGCCUUCUGUUCCCCUGGAUCCUCACACACACACACACCUUUUGGGAUUUCCCAGGAACCCAGACAUUUCCUGAGGAUACAGUGUUUCAUUAUUCCUUUUCAGCACUCAUGAGUCCCUUUCAAUUUGUAGACUUGAGCCUUUCUUCAGGAGAGAUUUAAAAAACACUUUUAAUAUUUCAUUCCUUCAAUUUUUUCUAUUUGUCCUUUCUGGAACUUUUGGUUGAAAAUUUAAAAAAAAACAAAAGAACAACUUGCCUGUAGCCUCCAUGACUCUUAGUAUUUUUCUUACUUGCUUCCUUUUCUUGCCUUUAUUCACAGAAUAUGGGAGAUUGCCCUAACUCAAUUUUGUGAACUUCCUCUUUGCAAAUUUGAUCUCCAUCCAUGCCCAUUUUGCUCUACUUCAGCCAUCUGUUGCAAGAUUUUUUUUUUUAUAUCAGCAGUCAUCCUUCUAAUUCCCAAGAACCCUACUUCUUUUUAUAGGGUGGGUCUUAUUUCUGUACUGGUGAUAACUUUGGUCCCAUCAGGAGGUUGUACACUUACUUGUUACAUUUAAUGAUUCUGCAGGUGGCUUUCCCUAAUUGCAUAAUUUUUUGUUUUUUGUUUUUUGUUUUGUAUUGGGGAUCAAACUCAGGACCUUUUGCUUUCAAGGCAGGUGGUGGCACCACUGAGCUAAAUCCCCGGCCUGCUGUUUGUUUGUUUUUUAAUUGCUUGGUUUUUGUUGUUGUUGUUUGGGUUUUGUUUUUUGAGACAGGGUCUCAUCAUGUAGUUCAGGCCAACCUCAAACUCACUAUGUGCCCCAGGCUGGCUUCGAAGUCUUGGUGAUCCACCUGCCUCAGCCUCCUGAGUGCUGAGAUUACAGGGAUCUGCCACCAAGUCCAGUGCAAUUGCAUGAUUUUUGACUGUCCUCAUUUCUGCUUAAGGGUCUUGGCCCUUUGACAUUAAGAGUUGAGACAUGUGUCUCCAGCCCGGGUGAGAUUCCCUGCUGUGUUAGGAAUAAAUGAAGAUUUGGGUACAGAGGUUCCAGCUCCAAGGACUGUGCAGAGCAGGAGGCAAAGGUGGGAGGUAAGGAAAGUAGUGCCUGGAACCUCUCUCUUGGCUACCACAGCAAACCUGGGACAGUGGCCACUUUCUCUGGUUCCGAUGCCUUCUCUGGGAGCCUCUUCUUUCAUGAUUUGCAUCUUAAUUUGGUAGGUAGUAAGCUUCACUUAAAAGUUUCACUUCAGGGGCAAAAGUAGAAAUCAGCUACUUUUUUGUUUGUUUAGUGCUGAGUAUUGAACCCAAGACCUUAUGCACGCUAAGCCUGUGCUCUACCACUGAACCACAACCCCUCAGCUCCAGCUUUGAGCUGCUUCUAAAACAGCCAAGAAUGAUGCAGAUGGGAGAAGAUAUUUGUGGCUCCUGCUCAUGAUUGUUUCAGUUUCUUUUUACUGGCCUCUCUGGAUUUCUAAGAGAGUUUACUUCUCCAGGGACCCUCUUUUUCUACUUUUAUGUAGGUGUUUAGGCACCUUGGCUCUGUGUGGUUUUGUUUUUGUUUUUGUUUUUUGUUUUGGGGGGCUCUGUGUGUUUUAUCAAUCUGCUUCAUAUCUUUCAUUAAUCAGUCCUUUUUAAAAAAAUAAGUCAGGGCCGGGGAUUUAGCUCAGUGGUUCCACUGCUUGCCUCGAAAGCACAAGGACCUGAGUUCAAUCCCCGGUACCAAUAAAUAAAUAAAUAAAUAAAUAAAAUUUAAAAAGGUCAGUCCUAUUUUGGUGCUCUGACAAUAACUGGCCUGGAUUUCCAGUGUUGCUUUCAAGUGAAUCACUUCUAGGGAUUGGUUUGUUUGGUUUGAGGUGUAACUGCAAAGU
rnacentral:lncRNA from 1 species